AGGGAUGUAGGUUAUAUUUAGACCGGUGGAUUGUAAACCCGAGAGUGCCCUUAGCGCCUUCCCUU
rnacentral:tRNA from 1 species